rnacentral:rRNA from 1 species
GAUGAACGCUGACAGAAUGCUUAACACAUGCAAGUCCACUUGAAUUUGGGUUUUUAACUUAGGUUUGGGUGGCGGACGGGUGAGUAACGCGUAAAGAACUUGCCUCACAGCUAGGGACAACAUUUGGAAACGAAUGCUAAUACCUAAUAUUAUGAUAAUAGGGCAUCCUAUAAUUAUGAAAGCUAUAAGCGCUGUGAGAGAGCUUUGCGUCCCAUUAGCUAGUUGGAGAGGUAACGGCUCGCCAAGGCGAUGAUGGGUAGCCGGCCUGAGAGGGUGAUCGGCCACAAGGGGACUGAGACACGGCCCUUACUCAUACGGGAGGCAGGAGUGGGGAAUAUUGGACAAUGGACCAAGAGUCUGAUCCAGCAAUUCUGUGUGCACGAUGAAGUUUUUCGGAAUGUAAAGUGCUUUCAGUUGGGAAGAAAGAAAUGACGGUACCAACAGAAGAAGUGACGGCUAAAUACGUG